AUGUAUCAGGAAACUAACCUUCUGCAAUCUUUUCGUAAAUACUUUACCUCCGUCGCAUCUUCAAAGCUUCAACAUCAUCUUCACAUUUCAAUAACAACAUGCACAAUCUACUUCUCUCUUAUUCGCAUCAUCAUCAUCUUCACAACCGCAACGUCUUUUUCUUCAAGCUUCAUCAAUGAAUUGAAGCUCUUCUCCAAAGCAAACGCACACAAUCACAAAACCAAAGAAUAG